UACGUAGGGACCAAGCGUUGUUCGGAUUUACUGGGCGUAAAGGGCGCGUAGGCGGCCUAACAAGUCACUUGUGAAAUCUCCGGGCUUAACUCGGAACUGCCAAGUGAAACUGUCAGGCUAGAGUGCAGAAGGGGCAAUCGGAAUUCUUGGUGUAGCGGUGAAAUGCGUAGAUAUCUGGAGGAACACCGGUGGCGAAGGCGGCAUCCUGGACCAACACUGACACUGAGGAGCGAAAGCCAGGGGAGCAAACGGG
rnacentral:rRNA from 1 species